rnacentral:rRNA from 1 species
GAUGAACGCUAGCGGCAGGCUUAACACAUGCAAGUCGAGGGGCAGCGCGGGAUAGCAAUAUCCUGGCGGCGACCGGCGGAAGGGUGCGUAACGCGUGAGCGACAUGCCCGUUGCCCGGGGACAACCGGUGGAAACGCCGACUAAUCCCCGAUGGGAUAUUGUGCCGCAUGGCACGAAAUUGAAAGUUACGGCGGCGACGGAUUGGCCCGCGUCCGAUUAGCUUGUUGGCGGGGUAACGGCCCACCAAGGCUGCGAUCGGUAGGGGUUCUGAGAGGAAGGCCCCCCACAAUGUGACUGAGACACGGCCCAUACUCCUACGGGAGGCAGCAGUGAGGAAUAUUGGACAAUGGGCGGAAGCCUGAACCAGCCAUGCCGCGUGCGGGAAGGAGGCCCUAUGGGCUGUGAACCGCUUUUGCCUGGGGGCAAUAAGGGCGUCGCGCACGUCCGAUGAGAGUACCAGGCGAAUAAGCAUCGGCUAACUCCGUG